rnacentral:rRNA from 1 species
UGAGGAAUAUUGGACAAUGGGCGCAAGCCUGAUCCAGCCAUGCCGCGUGCAGGAAGAAGCAUCUAUGGUGUGUAAACUGCUUUUGUACGGGAAGAAACACUCCUACGUGUAGGAGCUUGACGGUACCGUAAGAAUAAGGAUCGGCUAACUCCGUGCCAGCAGCCGCGGUGAUACGGAGGAUCCAAGCGUUAUCCGGAAUCAUUGGGUUUAAAGGGUCCGUAGGCGGUUUAAUAAGUCAGUGGUGAAAGCCCAUCGCUCAACGAUGGAACGGCCAUUGAUACUGCUAGACUUGAAUUACAAGGAAGUAACUAGAAUAUGUAGUGUAGCGGUGAAAUGCUUAGAUAUUACAUGGAAUACCAAUUGCGAAGGCAGGUUACUACUUGUGGAUUGACGCUGAUGGACGAAAGCGUGGGGAGCGAACA